rnacentral:rRNA from 1 species
CAAAUUUGAAAUCUGGCUCCUUUGGGGUCCGAGUUGUAAUUUGUAGAGGAUGCUUCGGGUGCGGCACCGGUCUAAGUCCCUUGGAACAGGGCGUCAUAGAGGGUGAGGAUCCCGUAUGUGACCGGCGACCAAGCCCAUGUGAAGCUCCUUCGACGAGUCGAGUUGUUUGGGAAUGCAGCUCAAAAUGGGUGGUAAAUUUCAUCUAAAGCUAAAUACCGGCCAGAGACCGAUAGCGCACAAGUAGAGUGAUCGAAAGAUGAAAAGCACUUUGGAAAGAGAGUCAAAAAGUACGUGAAAUUGUUGAAAGGGAAGCGCUUGUAACCAGACCUGCCGUCGGGUGCUCCGCGGGCAUUCUUGCCCGUCUACUCACCCGCGAUCAGGCCAGCAUCGGUUUUGGCGGCCGGAUAAAGACUCGAGGAAUGUAGCUUCGCUUCGGGGAAGUGUUAUAGCCUCUUGUGCAAUACGGCCAGCCGGGACCGAGGACCGCGCUUCGGCUAGGAUGCUGGCGUAAUGGUUGCAAGCGACCCGUCUUGAAACACGGACCAAGGAGUCUAACAUCUAUGCGAGUGUUUGGGUGUCAAACCCAUGCGCGGAAUGAAAGUGAACGGAGGUGGGAACCCUUAAGGGCGCACCAUCGACCGAUCCGGAAGUUUACGGAUGGAUUUGAGUAUGAGCAUAGCUGUUGGGACCCGAAAGAUGGUGAACUAUGCCUGAAUAGGGUGAAGCCAGAGGAAACUCUGGUGGAGGCUCGCAGCGGUUCUGACGUGCAAAUCGAUCGUCAAAUUUGGGUAUAGGGGCGAAAGACUAAUCGAACCAUCUAGUAGCUGGUUCCUGCCGAAGUUUCGUAAGUUCUUCCGAGGACCACCCCCUAUGAACUCUUGCUAACAAUCUCAACAGCCUCAGGAUAGCAGUAACGUUUUCAGUUUUAUGAGGUAAAGCGAAUGAUUAGAGGCCUGGGGGAUGAAACAUCCUUCACCUAUUCUCAAACUUUCAAUAUGUAAGAAGUCCUUGUUACUUAGUUGAACGUGGACAUUUGAAUGCACCGUUACUAGUGGGCCAUUUUUGGUAAGCAGAACUGGCGAUGCGGGAUGAACCGAACGUGGGGUUAAGGUGCCGGAAUGUACGCUCAUCAGACACCAAGGGGAAGACUUGUGGUGUCUGGCCGGGGGAUAGACCCCCGGCAUCAGUCUGCGAAAGGCGAGGUCUUUGACCUGUAGGGGUCCGCGGUCGCUCCGGCGAUGGCUUACCCUCUGCUGUCCCAUGACCUGGGCAGCUCACAGAUCAAGCAAAGGCCGGCGGCAGUACGCCGUUGGAGAUAUGAUCGGCCCUCGAAGG